AAUGAAGUGGACAUUUGAGUAUUUGUUUACCGAAAGAAACUGAAACAAAGCAAAGCAAAAACCCAACUCAAUCAUAAAGGAAUGAAGAUAGGACAAGCACUAUCCAGAGGACUUUAGAAAACCCAGGCAGGCCAUGCUGUGUUCUGGAAACCACCUGUGUCAUGACACCCAGAGGAAAUAUACAGCUGUGCUGCCUUCAUUUGUGGUACUUAAAAAGUGCUCCAGGCCAGAAGCCACAGACAUAAAAACCAGGAAUGUCUAUGGGAAAGUGAAGAACCCACUUCUGACAACAGCACUUGAAAAUAAGCUUGCUCACUAAAAACAAAUUUAACAGAUCUUUGCGGCAAAAGAGGUUUAACCUUGUACUUGUGGGGACUGCUUUUGUCCACUGUCACCUGUGUGCACACCCCUCUACUGGACUUCUUCCUAAAGUUCCUACUGCUGUCUUAGGGCCUUCCUCCUCUUCACAAGUCACUCCACCCCACGGUAAUUAGGUUUAACUAGAGCAAUUAACAAAACAAACUCCUUGCUGCUUAGUGGGCUGAUAAUUCUGAUUGCAAAAUUAUGUUAGGAUGUGCAGAGCAGUUUAUAACAAAGAUAAGUUAUGCAACCAUUUUGCAUAUAAUCCUUUUGUUUGUGUACAAAACAGAGUCCCACAUCUUAAAUAAUGCUGUCUAAAAUUACAUUUUGCUGAGCAUUAAGCUUUCUCAUACAAUAUUAACUCAGAUCUAAUGAACUUGAUUUGGGUUAUUGUUUCUAGUGCUAUAGAGUUGUAAACUAUUCAGACACAAAUGCCUCAUUUUUUUCUACUAAUAAGUAAAGUCAACAGAUGUUGAUGUUUUUUAAAAUGGAAAAUUGAUGGAAAUGUAAUCAAUACCAUUCAAUUUCCUGAAUACCUUCUAUACAAAAUACUAAGAUUCCAUGUCUAAAUUCUUCAUGAGCAUUAUCACUGUAAAUGUUUUUCUGUACACACAAAAAGUAGCAUCAUUUCAUUAUUAUUGCAUCUUAUUCAGUACUAG